rnacentral:rRNA from 1 species
GACGAACGCUGGCGGCGUGCCUAAUACAUGCAAGUCGAACGCAGUGGGGACGGGUGAGUAACACGUGGGUAACCUCCCAUCAGAGGGGAUAACACUUGGAAACAGGUGCUAAACCGAUACUGAUGGAUGGACCCGCGGUGCAUUGGCUAGUUGGUGAGGUAACAGCUCAACAAGGCCACGAUGCAUAGCCGGCCUGAGAGGGUGAUCGGCCACACAGGGACGGAGACAGUGCCCAGACUACUACGGUAGGCAGCAGGAGGGAAGCUUCGGCAAUGGACGAAGGUCUGACCGAGAGACGCCGCUUGAGUGAAGAGGGUUUUCGGAUUGAAAAACUCUGUUGUUAGAGAAGCGGUAGCUAACCAGAAAGCCACGGCUAACUACGUGCCAGCAGCCGCGGUAAUAA